ACUGUUAUUGCAAAAUACCUCCGC
rnacentral:miRNA from 1 species